AAAGGAAUUGACGGGGGCCCGCACAAGCAGUGGAGCAUGUGGUUUAAUUCGAAGCAACGCGAAGAACCUUACCAGGGCUUGACAUCCCGAUGACCCCUCUAGAGAUAGAGGCUUCUCUUCGGAGACAUCGGUGACAGGUGGUGCAUGGUUGUCGUCAGCUCGUGUCGUGAGAUGUUGGGUUAAGUCCCGCAACGAGCGCAACCCUUAAUCUUAGUUGCCAGCAUUCAGUUGGGCACUCUAAGGUGACUGCCGGUGACAAACCGGAGGAAGGUGGGGAUGACGUCAAAUCAUCAUGCCCCUUAUGUCCUGGGCUACACACGUGCUACAAUGGUUGGUACAGAGGGAUGCGAGACCGCGAGGUGGAGCCAAUCCCAAAAAGCCAAUCUCAGUUCGGAUUGCAGGCUGCAAUUCGCCUGUAUGAAGCCGGAAUUGCUAGUAAUCGCGGAUCAGCAUGCCGCGGUGAAUACGUUCCCGGGCCUUGUACACACCGCCCGU
rnacentral:rRNA from 1 species